CACCUUCCAAGCAUCAGGAAAUACAGAUGUUUGUAAAGAUUUAUUAAAAAGUAUAUAUAGAGGUAAGACUAUUGUGCAAACACAUUCUUUCAGCAAGUAAUCUGGUAUUCCAUCGGGUCCUUUUGAAAGCUUCUUUGGGAGCCUACUUAUAGCAUCAAAUAUCUCAUUAAUUAUAAUCUCGCAACAGUUAAUAUCCCUGCUAGCAACAUCAUCCACAACUGUGUCAAAUGAAAAAUUUGAAUCAUGAUUAUUAACAUACACCAUCUGAAAAAACUCCAUAAAUAAAUUAGCUAUAUCUUGCCCAUUAGAAGCAGUCCUAUUUCCAUAAGACAGAGAAUUCGGAAGACUGUAAUUUGAUCUUUUAUCGUUAAUAAACUGCCAAAACGAUUUUGGAUUAUCCCUCAGUUUCAAAUCAAAACACCCAAUAUAGUUAGAAAAA
rnacentral:lncRNA from 1 species